AGCAGCCGCGGUAAUUCCAGCUCCAAUAGCGUAUAUUAAAGUUGUUGCAGUUAAAAAGCUCGUAGUUGAAUUUCGGGGUUCUACCGUUGGUCGGGCUUUGUCUGUACUGGCGUGUAGAGUUUCUACCUUCUGGGGAACCAUCAUGUUAUUAAUUUAACGUGGUGGGAAACCAGGACCUCUACCUUGAAAAAAUUAGAGUGUUCAAAGCAGGCUUAUGUCUGAAUACAUUAGCAUGGAAUAAUAAAAUAGGACGGUGGUCCUGUCUUGUUGGUUUCUGAAUCACCGCAAUGAUUAAUAGGGAUAGUUGGGGGCAUUAGUAUUCAAUUGUCAGAGGUGAAAUUCUUGGGUUUAU
rnacentral:rRNA from 1 species